rnacentral:lncRNA from 1 species
CCAUCUUUAAUAUCAAAGAAUUCAGCUAUACAGCCAAAGUAGUUAUUGCUAGUCUCAGAUGAGCAGCGUGUCCUUCCUAACUACAGCCAGAUGGAACAUCCCACAUCAGCUUUUUAUCCAGGCUGCGGAGACUUUGAUCCAGGAGAGAAAGCCAGCAAGAUCUCCAUCUCAGCACCACUCCGAGCAGAACACUACACUUACUUCGCAUCAGUUCCCAACUGCAACACAACUGAGAGCUCUGCAAUCUUGAAGACUCGAUGAAGGUUUUAAUCAUCUAAUGAGAUUACCUCAUCUGUGUGUGGUUUCACAAUGCAGUCUCAACGGCAGCCCAUUAAGCCAGUCUCAUGACAUACAGUAUCAAUCAUGCCAGUCAGCUUACUCUGAUAACACUCCUAGAACUGGAUGACUGCUGUGUACAGAAACCACAACUGUGAGGAGUUUCUAUCGCACUGCAGCAAAAUGCACAUGAUAAAAAUUGAGCUAGGUUUUGCUGCUCAAGUACAUAACACAAAAUCGUAACAUGGAUGCCAUUUAUGUCCAAUAGGUUUGAGCUAUGGCCCAUUUUUCAAUUUUACAUAUAUUCUGUGUUCAAUCAUAGCAAAGCACAACGCUUCCUGUACAAAGAACAUGAAGUUCAGAUAUAAGCUCGGAACAUGUAAGUCGUUAUCAUCUUCUGAUGCUAAAUUUAUUAAGCAGUACCAGUAGCUAUGUUUUCCUCAAAUGCAGAAUUCCACAGUCAUCAUCAAAUGCAGUGUACAAUACAGCGGUCUCUUUUGUUUUUUAACUGUUACCAAUAAGAAAACAGUGCAGCAAUUCACACCACGCACUUAGGAGGCUGGCUGCUUCUGGCUUCACAAGUAAUGUAACACCUGAACAAAUAAAACUUGCUCUUUUUUCACAGAUGAAGCUAAUGAGGAAAAUCUAAACAUUA